CCUGCAAGUAAGAAUACUGCAGUCACAGAUACUGAUAUGCAAGAAACACUCAGGAAAAUCUCAAACAACUUGAGGUCUAAUAGAAAGAAGAAAGGGAGAGUAUCUGACUAUAUGUUUGGCUGCAUCUGCACAAGGGAUCACACCAGCUGAGGUCACAAGUGGAAAAAGCAUUUGAAUGCCAACCACAUAAAAGCCCCACAAGGGCAAACAUCAUAAUGAGCAAUGGACAGGAAAGUCAGCAUGAGGCAAAGGGGCCAGUUUGAUCUUCAGAGUUGUCAUUCAAGAGUGUGACACUGAGAUUACACAAUGUCAUGCAGCAACAGAAUUAUAUGGAAAAUUCCAUCCCACUGAGAUGCUCCUGUGUGGCUGGACUCUGUGAAGAACAGUCAUUGAGGGACUCUGCAGACCCAUGCUAGUGAAAUAGGCAGUUUACUGGAAUUCUCAGUGGUAAAAUCAGCACAGAGGAGAGCCUGUGACAGUGAUCUGUCAUUACCAAUCAAUCACAC